UACAGAGGUGGCGAGCGUUGUUCGGAUUUACUGGGCGUAAAGGGUGCGUAGGUGGUCUCGUAUGUCGGAUGUGAAAGCCCACUGCUCAACGGUGGAGGGUCAUUCGAAACUGCGAGGCUUGAGUGCAGGAGGGGAGAGCGGAAUUCUCGGUGUAGCGGUGAAAUGCGUUGAUAUCGAGAGGAACACCGGUGGCGAAGGCGGCUCUCUGGAAUGCAACUGACACUGAGGCACGAAAGCUGGGGGAGCAAACAGG
rnacentral:rRNA from 1 species